UACCGUGUACAAGGUGCAGGUGGUAUGUGAGCUGAGGAUAUAAAGAUGAGAAACUGCCCAGCCUUGCUCAAAAGGAGAAAAGUAAAUUCUAGCAAGAUUGUGGAUGAAAUGCCAGAAAUUCCUUUGAUAAGUCCUUAGCAGGACACUAUCUACUUAUGAGGGACACAAAUUCUUGGGUGGGGAACACAAAUACUUAGGACGGAAGCACAAAUAAUUCUAAAAUGAUGCAGCAUGUGAAAAGCCAAAGAAAGGUGACAAAGUGACCUAGGAAAACUUGAGGAAAGCUCAUUUUCCUUUGUGGGAGAGAGGAUCUGGGAAGACUUCGUAGAGAAGGUAUCAUCUGAGCUGAACUUUGAAGGAAGAGGAAGAAUUUUGAAGAAUGUCAUACAUUCCAGGAGUUGUGGAGAGAGGCAUGCUGCAGUCUAGAAAUUCUGCUUAAGUCUAGCAUCAAUAGCUUUCCUCUGGGGUUAUUUGUUUUGGAAGUUAUUCCACUUUAAGGAUGAAGAUGAGAAUGGAGCACUUACUAUUCCUUAAUGGCUGAGAUCCGAUGAUAGGUCACUGAGUUUUUUAAAAAAAAUCUUGAGUUUCUUCAAUGGAGCUCAUACAAAGUCACUAGAAUAUUGGUGUAUUCCCAUGCUUGCUUCUGACUUCUGCAAUUUUAAAUGACUUCCUCUCCUAUCCCCAAGGUUGAGAUUUUUAAAUACUCAAUUCAGUACAAUUUUAUGUAUAUACUUUUCAUAUUGGCUUCUAAUACAGAAUUAGAUAUGCCACACAUUCAUCUGUUCAUUCACUCAUUCAUCCAUCCCUACAUCUAUCGAUAGCUUCAGCUGUAUCCUCAGGAUACAGGAUAAAGAUUAAUGAUGAGAUAUGCAUGAAUAUUAGGACAAACAUUUCCACUCUUGACCAGUGUUGGUUAUGUUGGGUUUUGUAUCAGAGUAUUGAUUUGAAGGAUAAAGAUAAGAACAGAAGCUGGUAGUCAUCGCUAUGAUAAGUAUCUACGGAUUUAGUAUGCAGAGAUUCCUAUUGCUGAAGCAAAAAAAUAUUUACUAUAAUAUUGGGGGCAGUCUAUAUCUACUCAUUAAUAUGUAUGCUUUGUCACUGGAGUCACUUUUUUCACCAUUGAAAUUCACAUAUAAAUCGAUAUGAUAUAUAGUAAAAAUUUUACAUCUAAAAGAAUUCAACAAUGUGACCAAGAGAGGGUGAAUGAAUUCAAUUAAUUAAAAUUUGAAUAUGUAUCUUUCAUUUUUCUUGCAAUACCCUAAAAUUCAUCUCUAUUUAGAAGCUUAUUUGGUUGAAUGGUAAUAAUAGUCAUUAUUUACCUGACAUUUUACAGCUUACAAAGUACUUUCUUAUGCUUACAUCUUGUUUGAUUGUUGUAACAACUCUGCAAGUUAGGCAAGUCAAAUAUUAUUGUCUUUGCUUUACAUGUGAAGAAACUGAGUCAAAAAAGGUUUCUCUCUUUGACUGUGUCCCAGUGCACAGUG